rnacentral:rRNA from 1 species
UACGUAGGCAGCAAGCGUUGUUCGGAAUUACUGGGCGUAAAGAGUGUGUAGGCGGUGCUCUAAGUUCGGUGUUAAAUCUCCUGGCUCAACUGGGAGGGUGCGCCGGAAACUGGGGUGCUGGAGCGCGGGAGAGGAAAGCGGAAUUCCUGGUGUAGCGGUGAAAUGCGUAGAUAUCAGGAGGAACACCGGCGGUGUAGACGGCUUUCUGGACCGUAGCUGACGCUGAGACACGAAAGCGUGGGGAGCGAACAGG